rnacentral:rRNA from 1 species
UCGGACAUUAGUAGAGUGGCAAACGGGUGAGUAACGCGUGGGAACAUACCUUAUAGUACGGGAUAGCCUCGGGAAACUGGGAUUAAUACCGUAUGCGCCCUUCGGGGGAAAGAUUUAUCGCUAUAAGAUUGGCCCGCGUCAGAUUAGCUAGUUGGUGGGGUAACGGCCUACCAAGGCAACGAUCUGUAGCUGGUCUGAGAGGACGAUCAGCCACAUUGGGACUGAGACACGGCCCAAACUCC